GAUGAACGCUGGCGGCGUGCCUAAUACAUGCAAGUCGAGCGAACAGAUGAGGAGCUUGCUCCUCUGACGUUAGCGGCGGACGGGUGAGUAACACGUGGAUAACCUACCUAUAAGACUGGGAUAACUACGGGAAACCGGAGCUAAUACCGGAUAAUAUAUUGAACCGCAUGGUUCAAUAGUGAAAGACGGUUUUGCUGUCACUUAUAGAUGGAUCCGCGCCGCAUUAGCUAGUUGGUAAGGUAACGGCUUACCAAGGCAACGAUGCGUAGCCGACCUGAGAGGGUGGUCGGACACACUGGAAGUGAGACAGAGUCCAGACUCCUACGAGAAGCAACAGUAGGGAAUCUUCCGAAAGGGGCGAGAGCGUGACGGAGCAACGCCGCGUAAGUGAUGAAGGUGUUCGGAUCGGAAAGCUCUGUUAUUAGGGAAGAACAAAAGUGUAAGUAACUAUGCACGUCAUGACGGUACCUGAUCAGAAAGCCACGGCUAACUACGUG
rnacentral:rRNA from 1 species